AUUGAACGCUGGCGGCAGGCCUAACACAUGCAAGUCGAGCGGAUGAAGGGAGCUUGCUCCUGGAUUCAGCGGCGGACGGGUGAGUAAUGCCUAGGAAUCUGCCUGGUAGUGGGGGAUAACGUCCGGAAACGGGCGCUAAUACCGCAUACGUCCUGAGGGAGAAAGUGGGGGAUCUUCGGACCUCACGCUAUCAGAUGGGCCUAGGUCGGAUUAGCUAGUUGGUGGGGUAAAGGCCUACCAAGGCGACGAUCCGUAACUGGUCUGAGAGGAUGAUCAGUCACACUGGAACGGAGACACGGUCCAGACUCCUACGGGAGGCAGCAGUGGGGAAUAUUGGACAAUGGGCGAAAGCCUGAUCCAGCCAUGCCGCGUGUGUGAAGAAGGUCUUCGGAUUGUAAAGCACUUUAAGUUGGGAGGAAGGGCAGUAAGUUAAUACCUUGCUGUUUUGACGUUACCAACAGAAUAAGCACCGGCUAACUACGUG
rnacentral:rRNA from 1 species